CAGCAGCCGCGGUAAUACGAAGGGGGCUAUCGUUGUUCGGAUUUACUGGGCGUAAAGCGCACGUAGGCGGACUUUUAAGUCAGGGGUGAAAUCCCGGGGCUCAACCCCGGAACUGCCUUUGAUACUGGAAGUCUUGAGUAUGGUAGAGGUGAGUGGAAUUCCGAGUGUAGAGGUGAAAUUCGUAGAUAUUCGGAGGAACACCAGUGGCGAAGGCGGCUCACUGGACCAUUACUGACGCUGAGGUGCGAAAGCGUGGGGAGCAAACAGGAUUAGAUACCCCUGUAGUCCCUGUCUCUUAUAC
rnacentral:rRNA from 1 species